AACCCCCAGCUAGACUGGGGGGCCGGAAAGCUUUCAGCUUUGGGCCAGUUAUUAAAACCCCUUUUGAUUUGUUAAAACACCUUGCGGUCUGGCAACUGCAAGGGUUAAACAAGAAAUCAAAAG
rnacentral:sRNA from 1 species